GACGAACGCUUUCGGCGUGCUUAACACAUGCAAGUCGAACGGAAAGGCCCUGCUUUUGUGGGGUGCUCGAGUGGCGAACGGGUGAGUAACACGUGAGUAACCUGCCCUUGACUUUGGGAUAACUUCAGGAAACUGGGGCUAAUACCGGAUAGGAGCUCCUGCUGCAUGGUGGGGGUUGGAAAGUUUCGGCGGUUGGGGAUGGACUCGCGGCUUAUCAGCUUGUUGGUGGGGUAGUGGCUUACCAAGGCUUUGACGGGUAGCCGGCCUGAGAGGGUGACCGGCCACAUUGGGACUGAGAUACGGCCCAGACUCCUACGGGAGGCAGCAGUGGGGAAUAUUGCACAAUGGGCGGAAGCCUGAUGCAGCAACGCCGCGUGCGGGAUGACGGCCUUCGGGUUGUAAACCGCUUUCGCCUGUGACGAAGCGUGAGUGACGGUAAUGGGUAAAGAAGCACCGGCUAACUACGUGCCAGCAGCCGCGGUGAUACGUAGGGUGCGAGCGUUGUCCGGAUUUAUUGGGCGUAAAGGGCUCGUAGGUGGUUGAUCGCGUCGGAAGUGUAAUCUUGGGGCUUAACCCUGAGCGUGCUUUCGAUACGGGUUGACUUGAGGAAGGUAGGGGAGAAUGGAAUUCCUGGUGGAGCGGUGGAAUGCGCAGAUAUCAGGAGGAACACCAGUGGCGAAGGCGGUUCUCUGGGCCUUUCCUGACGCUGAGGAGCGAAAGCGUGGGGAGCGAACAGGCUUAGAUACCCUGGUAGUCCACGCUGUAAACGGUGGGUACUAGGUGUGGGGUCCAUUCCACGGGUUCCGUGCCGUAGCUAACGCUUUAAGUACCCCGCCUGGGGAGUACGGCCGCAAGGCUAAAACUCAAAGGAAUUGACGGGGCCCCGCACAAGCGGCGGAGCAUGCGGAUUAAUUCGAUGCAACGCGUAGAACCUUACCUGGGUUUGACAUGGAUCGGGAGUGCCCAGAGAUGGGUGUGCCUCUUUUGGGGUCGGUUCACAGGUGGUGCAUGCCUGUCGUCAGCUCGUGUCGUGAGAUGUUGGGUUAAGUCCCGCAACGAGCGCAACCCUUGUUCACUGUUGCCAGCACGUUAUGGUGGGGACUCAGUGGAGACCGCCGGGGUCAACUCGGAGGAAGGUGGGGAUGACGUCAAGUCAUCAUGCCCCUUAUGUCCAGGGCUUCACGCAUGCUACAAUGGCUGGUACAGAGAGUGGCGAGCCUGUGAGGGUGAGCGAAUCUCGGAAAGCCGGUCUCAGUUCGGAUUGGGGUCUGCAACUCGACCUCAUGAAGUCGGAGUCGCUAGUAAUCGCAGAUCAGCAACGCUGCGGUGAAUACGUUCCCGGGGCU
rnacentral:rRNA from 1 species